rnacentral:tRNA from 1 species
GGAAGGGUGCCAGAGUGGUCGAAUGGACUCGCCUGGAAAGCGAGUGUACCUCCGGGUACCGCAGGUUCGAAUCCUGUCCCUUCCG